rnacentral:rRNA from 1 species
ACUUAAAUUGAAGAGUUUGAUCAUGGCUCAGAUUGAACGCUGGCGGCAGGCCUAACACAUGCAAGUCGAGCGGUAGCACAGAGAGCUUGCUCUCGGGUGACGAGCGGCGGACGGGUGAGUAAUGUCUGGGAAACUGCCUGAUGGAGGGGGGAUAACUACUGGAAACGGUAGCUAAUACCGCAUAACGUCGCAAGACCAAAGUGG